rnacentral:rRNA from 1 species
GCGACGGUCGGUAGCCGACCUGAGAGGGUGAUCGGCCACAUUGGGACUGAGACACGGCCCAGACUCCUACGGGAGGCAGCAGUGGGGAAUAUUGCACAAUGGGGGAAACCCUGAUGCAGCGACGCCGCGUGGAGGAAGAAGGUCUUCGGAUUGUAAACUCCUGUUGUUGGGGAAGAUAAUGACGGUACCCAACAAGGAAGUGACGGCUAACUACGUGCCAGCAGCCGCGGUAAAACGUAGGUCACAAGCGUUGUCCGGAAUUACUGGGUAUAAAGGGAGCGCAGGCGGGAAGACAAGUUGGAAGUGAAAUCCAUGGGCUCAACCCAUGAACUGCUUUCAAAACUGUUUUUCUUGAGUAGUGCAGAGGUAGGCGGAAUUCCCGGUGUAGCGGUGGAAUGCGUAGAUAUCGGGAGGAACACCAGUGGCGAAGGCGGCCUACUGGGCACCAGCUGACGCUGAGGCUCGAAAGUGUGGGUAGCAAACAGGAUUAGAUACCCUGGUAGUCCACACCGUAAACGAUGAUUACUAGGUGUUGGAGGAUUGACCCCUUCAGUGCCGCAGUUAACACAAUAAGUAAUCCACCUGGGGAGUACGACCGCAAGGUUGAAACUCAAAGGAAUUGACGGGGGCCCGCACAAGCAGUGGAGUAUGUGGUUUAAUUCGACGCAACGCGAAGAACCUUACCAAGUCUUGACAUCCGUUGACCGCUGUAGAAAUACAGUUUUCCUUCGGGACAGCGAGACAGGUGGUGCAUGGUUGUCGUCAGCUCGUGUCGUGAGAUGUUGGGUUAAGUCCCGCAACGAGCGCAACCCUUAUGGUCAGUUACUACGCAAGAGGACUCUGGCCAGACUGCCGUUGACAAAACGGAGGAAGGUGGGGAUGACGUCAAAUCAUCAUGCCCUUUAUGACUUGGGCUACACACGUACUACAAUGGCGUUAAACAAAGAGAAGCAAGACCGCGAGGUGGAGCAAAACUCAGAAACAACGUCCCAGUUCGGACUGCAGGCUGCAACUCGCCUGCACGAAGUCGGAAUUGCUAGUAAUCGUGGAUCAGCAUGCCACGGUGAAUACGUUCCCGGGCCUUGUACACACCGCCCGUCACACCAUGAGAGCCGGGGGGACCCGAAGUCGGUAGUCUAACCGCAAGGAGGACGCCGCCGAAGGUAAAACUGGUGAUUGGGGUGAAGUCGUAACAAGGUAA